rnacentral:rRNA from 1 species
AUUGAACGCUGGCGGCAGGCCUAACACAUGCAAGUCGAGCGGAUGAAGGGUGCUUGCUCCUGGAUUCAGCGGCGGACGGGUGAGUAAUGCCUAGGAAUCUGCCUGGUAGUGGGGGAUAACGUCCGGAAACGGGCGCUAAUACCGCAUACGUCCUGAGGGAGAAAGUGGGGGAUCUUCGGACCUCACGCUAUCAGAUGAGCCUAGGUCGGAUUAGCUAGUUGGUGGGGUAAAGGCCUACCAAGGCGACGAUCCGUAACUGGUCUGAGAGGAUGAUCAGUCACACUGGAACUGAGACAAGGUCCAGACUCCUACGGGAGGCAGCAGUGGGGAAUAUUGGACAAUGGGCGAAAGCCUGAUGGAGCCAUGCCGCGUGUGUAGAGAAGGUCUUCGGAUUGUAAGGCACUUUAAGUUGGGAGAAAGGGCAGUAGGUUAAUACCUUGCUGUUAUGACGAUACCAGCAGAAUAAGCACCGGCUAACUAAGUG